rnacentral:rRNA from 1 species
UGGGGAAUAUUGGACAAUGGGGGGAACCCUGAUCCAGCCAUGCCGCGUGUGUGAAGAAGGCCUUAUGGUUGUAAAGCACUUUAAGCGAGGAGGAGGGUACUGGUAUUAAUACUACCAGGUACUGGACGUUACUCGCAGAAUAAGCACCGGCUAACUCUGUGCCAGCAGCCGCGGUAAUACAGAGGGUGCGAGCGUUAAUCGGAUUUACUGGGCGUAAAGCGUGCGUAGGCGGCUAAUUGAGUCGGAUGUGAAAUCACCGAGCUUAACUUGGGAAUUGCAUUCGAUACUGGUUAGCUAGAGUGUGGGAGAGGAUGGUAGAAUUCCAGGUGUAGCGGUGAAAAGCGUAGAGAUCUGGAGGAAUACCGAUGGCGAAGGCAGCCAUCUGGCCUAACACUGACGCUGAGGUACGAAAGCAUGGGGAGCAAACAGG